rnacentral:tRNA from 1 species
UAGCCUAGUGGUUAAGGCAAUGGAUCGCCAAUCCGGAGACAGCGGGUUCGAUUCCCGU